UACGUAGGGCGCAAGCGUUGUCCGGAAUUAUUGGGCGUAAAGAGCUCGUAGGUGGUUUGUCGCGUCUGCCGUGAAAGUCCGGGGCUCAACUCCGGAUCUGCGGUGGGUACGGGCAGACUAGAGUGAUGUAGGGGAGACUGGAAUUCCUGGUGUAGCGGUGAAAUGCGCAGAUAUCAGGAGGAACACCGAUGGCGAAGGCAGGUCUCUGGGCAUUAACUGACGCUGAGGAGCGAAAGCAUGGGGAGCGAACAGG
rnacentral:rRNA from 1 species